CCCUUCUAAAUUAACGACCGUCAAAAUGUUCAUAUUGUUAAGAGCUUCAUGGUACUUCAAAAAGAUCUAGGAUACCUCUGUCUUGGGGCACCCAGUUCGGGUAGGACCAGGGGCAGGCUGGUCCAAACUUACGCCCCUGAUGUUCUCUGCAUGUUCAGUGGUUAAUUAACCAUGUUUAAUGCAAUAAUGGACGUUCUUUGUCUCACUAAGACGAAGAUUGACGAGUUGAGCUCAUUUUAGAUAAUUUAACAUUCAACUUUAAUUCCCUCUUGGGAAUUAUGUGUGUUUCGUUUUCCAUACAAUUCCCAACGGUAGAAGAAUGUGAUUUCGACCGGCAAUUUUUAUUUUACAAGUAUGUGGCCAUUUCUCAUCAUUACGAUUUAAAAAAGGUAUCAUAUAGAAAGGCUAAAUAACAGCUCUUUUGUCCUAUGACUAUGUAAAAAUUGAAUUAUUUAGCUAAGUUUAUGAUGCACGAUAGCCUGUUGAUUUUCCAUAGCAUUUUUUAGACACCCUGUAUAACAAAACUUUUAUUUACGGAGAUCUUGGGAAAGCUGUGUGUUUACGACGGUCUCGGGUCCACAGAGCACACUGUUUCCCUCGGUCUCAGUAAAUAAGUGAUAAUAGCUGUUAUCGUAAUUGAAUACGCCGCUGCGGAAUACCAGCGGUAUCUCAGUGGAAGUACGCACGAAAACGAGGCUAAAGGGUCAAAAAACACAAAACAUGACCCUAUAGCCUCGUCUCGAUGUUAAAAUAAUGCAGAUGCCGCUGGUCCGUAGUAUAGACGUAUUCAAUUACGAUAACAGCUAUUAUUAGCUGUAAAUGGCGCUUAUGAUCUUGUGAAUCAAAAUGUAUGAUUCUGUAUGGAGCAUCUAUAGUCCAGUCAAUCUGUGGCCAGAGGUCAAAGAAAUUGCAAUAGAAUUUUUUUUCAGUUGUAAAAUGCGAGGGAAGGUGUCCUGAUUAACAUACUAAAAAUCCAAAAAAAUUCCUUCGGUGGAACAUGGUGAAGUUCGAGUUUUUCUUACUUCUACCUAUAGAAAACCAUUGUGGACAGAAUGUUCAAAUUUUGAAAUCAUUUUUAGGCAAAUGUAACCUACAUUAUUGGAAAGCUUAAACAAAACUAUAUAAAGGUCAAUUAAACCGUUAUAUUCAAUUUACUGGUCAGUUUGUCGUUAUUCUAGCUCAAAGUUGGAAAAAUAGCGCAAAAUUUGCACAAAAUACAAAUUUAUGGCAUUUUAAAUCUUGUAUAACUUCGGCUGGAUAGGCAAAAGCAAGGUAACCGUGUAAUGAUCUAUAUUUUAGUUUUUUUAAGCUUUCCAAUAAUGUAGGUUACAUUUGCCUAAAAAUGAUUUCAAAAUUUCAACAUUCUGUCCACAAUGGUUUUCUAUAGGUAGAAGUAAGAAAAACUCGAUUUUCA